AGUGAAAUGAAACAUUCUUGAAAAGCCCAAUGGGCUUUAUCUUAAGUGGGCUGUUUCAUGCCUUCAUUGUUUGCAUUUGCAUAUUAAGACGACGGUAGUGCAUCACCGGCGGUAUGGUAUACUCACAUGUCUUGCCGUGUCACCGGAGAAGAUAUAUUUCUGUCUGUUGUGUAGGAGAUGGAUUACAUCCUCCGCAAUAAUCUAUUAAAUAAGAGAUUCAGCCCAUCAAGUCGGCUCGAAUCAGCUUAGCUCGACAGGUUCCGACUCAAUAUUCAUGCUCGGCUAAAGACUGUUUUAUUCAGCUCCACAAGGUUUUUACCAUAGUCCGGCCCCAAAGCCCGAUUACCUGGCCCAGCUGCUCAGCCGAGAGACAGAACUCAGUCAAUUGGGUAAGGAUGACCUAAAGCGAACAAGAAAAAAGGUUUAUCUAUAUAAAAAGGACAAGACCGCAGAAAAAGGGAUCCAGACUUUUACACUCACACUUGACGGUUAAAACUUAAGGUCUUAAUCAUUGUAUUUCUUUCCGAUUUGUAUUUUUCCGGCCAGUUCGGACGAGCACCCGCUAACUUUUCCAUUUAUUUUCACUUUGUAAACCAAUACCUUUUCCAAUCAAUAAUGAAUAUCUUUGAAAUGUUUAUUUUAGUAAUCUUUGUUUAAAAUGUUAUCUUAUAAUAUGUUUUAUUUAAUAAAUAUGUUUUAUUUAAUAAAAAAAGUUAAUUUUUUUUUAAGAAACCCAAAUUAAGAAACUACCAUUGUAACACAAAAAUUAGGUGAUUCUUAACUAAGGUCUUUAGCUAAAAUUUAAUAGUUGAAUAGUUAUUAAAAUGUAUUUACGAAACUUUAUGGGUUUCUAGGGAUAAUCAUGCUCUAAGAGCAUGUUUUUUGGAGGUUCUUAGGUUAGGGUUCUUAGCGGAAUAGAAGAAACUGUCUCUUAACUUUUAACUAAAAAAGUUAAGAACCGACUCUUAAAUAACCCACCGUCAAAUUCAGUCCGUACGUAUCGACUCCCCACCGAACUCAGAUUCAACAUGUUGGUUUUUUUGUCGUGAGUGGAAGAAUAAUUUUCAGUUUAUGUGUUACAUAAUCACAAAAAAAAAAUUGUAAUGGUAAUUAAUCAUUUAAACAAAAUCCAUAGCAGUUGAUAAAUCUAUCUAUAAUAAUAAAACUGACUUUUCUCACUCCACAGGCGUCCACGUCGACAGAGAGGGAUGAGCAAAUAGAGACACGUGUCGUCACUCUACACCAAGCUUACCAUUUUGUUGAACGAAAUAAAAACCUGGGCUACAUAAGUUACUGAUAGAUUAACAAGCCCAACCUCUCAAAUGAUAUGCGAAACCCAUUAACAUAACUCUCUUUCUUCGAUAGUCUGCGUCUUCUCAGUUCUCAUAAAUCCCAGUUCUCAUAAAGCUUGGCACUAGGUUACAGCAUUUCCUAUCAUCAAGCUCUCACACUACGUAAGUUUUAGUUAAUCCUUUUCCAGGUUCCAUUGAUAAUCCCGUUUCCACUCCUUCACAAGAUUCAAUCCUAUUUCUUCGCCUUACAAACACAACCUGCAACCAUGGUGUCAACCCAUAUCCUUCUUUGUGAUUUGAAGUCCGUACGUUGUUUUCAGAUGGGCGUCUCCUACGUUUCUGGAAUCAUCUACAUCUGAUAUGGUAGAAGAAAUAUUUUUGACAGCUAAGGCCAAAGUAAUGAAUAAUGUUGCCCUUGAAAACAAAAUUAUUAAAGCCCCAAAAGUUGGAGACUUGGAGCCAAAGUUUCUAAAGAAGCAAGAAAAAUGUGGACAAAAAAACGGUUUCUCUAAGUAAGUACUAUAUAAGUGUUUGUAUAUAAGUGAAAUUUUGUUUCGGUUAUUAUAUGUCAACACUUAUAUCUUCUGAUCUGCAGUUUACUUAUGGAUGCACAAGAUCAAAACCCAUGAAAUUUAGUUAAUUAUGUAUUGCCACAGCUCUCCAACUCUACUCCCUUUGCAAUUUAUCAUCAAUAUUAACAGCCUCUGGCGACAUGUAUGCACAACUUUUAGCAAAGGAAGAUGGCCAUUAAUCUGUAAAUAACAGAACCGUGGCUACAAUAUCAGUUGCUUCCAUCAACAACUCACCCUCACUUGAUUCUCAGCGGCAUCAGAGUCUCUACCACUUGUCUCCAGACCUCAUUCUUCUCUUAUUAUUUUCAAUAACAGAGGUUUGUUGUUUGAUCUCUAUUUCAAAAGGUCUUCUUGAAACCAUAUCAAUCCAUCUGUGGGCCAACGUUGAGAAAUUUGACAGUUUGCAUAAGCCUAAUACAAAUACAGUCGGCAUUGCAUUGUAAGUUAACAACUUCAUAUCUGGGCCAACGUUGAGAGUUUUUACUGUCUGCGUAGCUCAACAGUCAACACUAAUAGACUCUCUAUCAUAUGGUUGAGAGAUAUAAAUGAGAAUUAUGUCAACAAGCCUAAGAAGCAAAUUUGUUUCUGAGUUUAGCUUAGUCGUUUCGUAUAAGCUUCACAUAGCUGUGCCUUUCCUCCACUUUCCGACGAUGAAUGAUUGGGUGUAAAUGGUGGAAUUCACUUAAAGCUACUCAUCACUUCCUCAACUUUUCAGCUUUCCUGCGUUUUUUGACCCAUUUAUUUUAUUAUAUAUACGAACCAGAUGUGAGGACCCCGAAGAUUUGGUCGUCUCGCAAUCAAUCCUUUUUUACAAACUAUCUCUAAAAGCAGGUACCAUAAUGACCAAUUCUCAACUUCCUCUCUCUCAGUUGAAGGCUGUUCGGUCUAGGACGACGGUUGUCAGACGGCUUCUCUAUUUUUGGGAAGCUCGGGAUGUGAAGAAAGUAAUAGAACUUAUGGAGAUUGAUAUAGUUCUCGUAGAUGAGGAGGAAUUGCUUCUCCAUUGUAUUUGUCUUUUCUGUAACUGUUUUCAAAAUUAUUUUUGUUUGCUAACGCUUCAUUGUUUCUAAAUGGUUUGCAGUCUGAUCCAGGGAUCUAGCAUACACCCCUUGAACACAUUCCACCACUUACUCAGAGAGGGGUCUGUAUGAGCUCUGCAUUUAAUGUUACCAGGAAUUAAAUAUUUGUAUUGUACACUCCCAUGGUUGACUUAUACAAUUUGUUCACCUUUAGCUAAAUUAAUUUUAAGUUUCUCUUUGUCCCGUGUUUCUUAAAAGCAUUUGUUAAGUUUUUAAAUUC